GCAGCCUGCCACCCUCGGCGUAACCAUGUUGAGCGGCAGCAGCCGUGGAUGCCAGGACCCUGGAAUCCCCAUGGUUAUGCGAAGGGUCUCGCUGAGAAACCUGCAAGUGAGUUUCCAAAUGUCUGACACGUGGCCUCUAAUCAGUGAUUGACUUGGGAAUUAAUAAGCCAGAUCAAAUGAAAUGAGCUCCUAAAUCCCUGGGAAUUAUCUUAGCAUCACAAAUAAGUCCUGUUGAUGUGAAGCAAUGUGGGAGAGAGCAAAGCCCUGUAGUGGCGAGGGGGCCAGCCAAGCCUGGCUAGCAGUCUCCCUCAGGGACCCUGCCACAGGUGUCCUGACAGCUCUUUUUUGUGUUGUAAAAGCACACAGCCAUCGUCGGGCAAGGAGCAGCUCCCUCCAGCUGGAUUGUGCAAGCUGUACUCGAGGGAUGUGGUGAGGAUCUGCAGUGACGCGGAUCUCUGUGCUGUGGACCUGUGUCCCGCUGGGAGUGGAAGUGAGGACAUAGCACCAAGGAGAGAACCUGGCUCAUGUCCCAAGUCAGUGUGGCCCAGGGGCUUCUUCACUCUGCUGAAACUCUCCACAGAGACAGGGUUGCUGGAGCAAUCCCAGAGGGCUCCAGUGAAUGCUACUACCUCAUUUGUCCCUGCACUGGAGGAAGAGCUAGCCCUGCACAAGCAGGUGCAUGGAAGAGCGUUCCUGCACCCGCAACCGUGAUCCACACUUCUAUGGACACCCUCCCGCAUUCUCCUACCACUGCAAGAGUCAUCUUGUGCCCAGAUUCAAAGCCCUUUGCGCCAGCAGAGUACCACAGAGAGCCUUUGUGGAAUCAGUUUUCAGACUACAGCCUUACAAAGCAAAAGGUGGAGACUUUGGGCCAGUUUGUGUAACGCAGAGGAGUCCCAGCGCAGGGCAGGAGCUGUUGGAAAUACUGUGCUGCACCUCCCAAUGUUCAGCACUGAGCACCAGGACCAAGGUCGCUUGGCAAUGCUCACAGCAGGAAAAUCACAUCCUGACAUGGACUCUUCAGAGCUAUCGCAAGAAGGUACUAAAGAAGUGAUUGCCAUAGUUUUGUAACAUUAUAAUCUAAAUGUUUCUGGUUCCGUCUUUCCUGCUUAUGGCCAGGUGGUUGCUCCCAGCUCUGGGCCACAACUUGCUUUUUUCUGCGGUGUUAUUUAUUAGGUACUUUUGAUAUAUCCUGCAACCACAAUAAAAAAUACACCGCUACCGAAAAUACAAACUGGGAAAACAAAUCAUCCCAGAAUACAGUCUACACAAAGGUUGUUAAACUAUGGACUGAGUUAAUUAGCAGCUAAUAAAAGACUAAAUUCUUCCAUUA